UAGAUAAAAAUUAGAAUUUACUACUUUACAUUUUACUCAAUUAUUAUUGUUACAUUGUCACAGUGUGAUAAGAUGGGCGUACCACUACGGGCACUAGCUGCAGGUCGAUGUUGCGAGCUCGAUGGUCGCUUCCUAGAUCCGCUAUCGCGCGCGGAGUAAACCUGCAAUGUCCUCAGUUGCAGAGAGCAACAGAGACAUAGUAUCAUUCUAGAACUGUCUGGCGAGCAGUGGUAACAUCGAGUCAAAGUCGCAGGAAGAGCUAACAAGAGGGCCAAUUGGAAAUUUAUUGUUUUCACAUAACGCUGGAAGCUCGAUGGUGCACGCCGGCGGUCUAUUCGUUGGUGGCAAAUUCUCAGCGCUAAUUUCGUUCAGCAACAUCCGGAGGAACGCUACGAAUACAUGGGCUGGGAGUUCGAGGUGCAGCAGGACGAACUAUUUGACUGCUUAGCGGAAUGCCGGAAAGAAGAAUUCAGGGUGGCCACUGUCCAUGUUGCAGCUGUGACUAGCCGGAAAGGAAUUCAGGGUGGCCACUGUCCAUGUUGCAGCUGUGACUAGUCGGAAAGGAAUUCAGGGUGGUCGCUGUCCAUGUUGCAGCUGUGAAUAGUCGGAAAGGAACUCAGGGUGGUCGCUGUCCAUAUUGCAGCUGUGAAUAGUCGGAAAGGAAUUCAUGGUGGUCACUGUCCAUGUUGCAGCUGUGAAUAGUCGGAAAGGAAUUCAGGAUGGUCGCUGUCCAUGUUGUAGCUGUGAAUAGUCGGAAAGGAAUUCACGGUGGUCUCUGUCCGUGUUGCAGCUGUGAAUAGUCGGAAAGGAAUUCAGGGUGGCCACUGUCCAUGUUGCAGCUGUGACUAGUCGGAAAGGAAUUCAGGAUGGUCGCUGUCCAUGUUGCAGCUGUGACUAGUCGGAAAGGAAUUCAGGGUGGUCACUGUCCAUGUUGCAGUUGUGAAUAGUCGGAAAGCUUGUGUGCGUACAUUGUCACAGAGACUGCAAGGACCGAGCAGUUCGAUCACCAGUGCAACUUGUGACAGGAUGAAAUGCUGGUGAUGCAGAAUGCGGAGUACAGCGCUACCAGUGAUUGGUCAGUGCUGGUCUGUAUAGUGUACAGCUGCUGCUACUGCCGCCGCCGUCACCAUUCUACCCAUGAUCAUCAGUGGGCACUGGUGCUGAUGUCUUUUGCAUAUGUGCGUACCACUAGUAUGUAGCCAGCCGCUAAGUAAUAAUCUACUGCUUUGCCAAUGCACGGAAUACAUACCGUCUUUGCCGGAGUAUGACGCGCUCCCCCUUUUUUGAACAAGGUUUUGGCAACUCAUGGCUUAUCCUGAAUAAUAUGCAGCCUGGAUUUGAGAGCAUUAUCGAUCAUAAAGACAGUACUAUACUGCGACCAUUGUCAGAAUGUAUCAUGAAAAAUGAGCAUGCAUAUAUGGCUUGCACAGGGUCAGAGGUCAGAGGCAGCACACUUCACAGCAGUUUUACUAAUUGUACUACUUUUCGAAGUACAGUACAUGCAUUUUCAUAUUCACAUUGUGUGCACCUGCGAUUUGGGGCCAGACCGAAUAGUGCUUCUAAAGUGUGCACUGUACUCCGUCAAAUACGGUAGUGUGACUUAUUGUGCAGCUAGUACAUGUGUGGUAGAAUUUGAGUGUGUUGGUACAGCGGCUAUAGUACAGCAUAUUGGUGUUGGUAC